rnacentral:rRNA from 1 species
ACGCGUUGGGAGCUCUCCAUAUGGUCGACCUGCAGGCGGCCGCGAAUUCACUAGUGAUUCGUAUUACCGCGGCUGCUGGCACAGAGUUAGCCGGUGCUUAUUCUGUCGGUAACGUCAAAACAGCAAAGUAUUAAUUUACUGCCCUUCCUCCCAACUUAAAGUGCUUUACAAUCCGAAGACCUUCUUCACACACGCGGCAUGGCUGGAUCAGGCUUUCGCCCAUUGUCCAAUAUUCCCCACUGCUGCCUCCCGUAGGAGUCUGGACCGUGUCUCAGUUCCAGUGUGACUGAUCAUCCUCUCAGACCAGUUACGGAUCGUCGCCUUGGUGAGCCAUUACCCCACCAACUAGCUAAUCCGACCUAGGCUCAUCUGAUAGCGCAAGGCCCGAAGGUCCCCUGCUUUCUCCCGUAGGACGUAUGCGGUAUUAGCGUCCGUUUCCGAACGUUAUCCCCCACUACCAGGCAGAUUCCUAGGCAUUACUCACCCGUCCGCCGCUCUCAAGAGAAGCAAGCUUUCUCUCCGCUCGACUUGCAUGUGUUAGGCC